UUUGAAUGGGAAGAAGAUGACAAAGAUGCCCUCAGCAUUAGGAAAACUGCCUGGCCUGAAGACUCUAGUCCUUCAGAAUAACCUAAUCCCCAAAGUGUGUCCAGAGUUAUGCAACUUGACCCAGUUGACAACACUAAAUCUGGGAAACAACCUUUUAGAAGAAGUUCCGGAAGAGAUGAAAUAUCUUACAUCUCUGAAGAAUCUCCAUUUAUCUGGAAAUAGGAUCUGUAGAUUUGCACCUGGAGCCUGUGGUAAUUUAAUCAACAAGGAACAACAUUAUAGCAUCAAAUUUAAUCUCUCAUAUUUAAUAAUAUGAGACUGAAAUGAAAAAGAAUUUUGCAUGUUUAAUCUUUUUUUGUUGGAGAUAUUUACAUACUACUCUUGAAAUAUAGGAGGAGACAACACUUUUAAAAAA
rnacentral:lncRNA from 1 species